GACGUAGGGACCGAGCGUUGUCCGGAUUCAUUGGGCGUAAAGCGCGCGCAGGCGGUUUCGCAGGUCGGGUGUGAAAACCAGAGGCUCAACCUCUGGCCUGCAUCCGAAACCGCGAGACUAGAGGCAGGUAGGGGAGAUCGGAAUUCCUGGUGUAGCGGUGAAAUGCGCAGAUAUCAGGAGGAACACCGGUGGCGAAGGCGGAUCUCUGGGCCUGACCUGACGCUGAGGUGCGAAAGCUAGGGGAGCGAACAGG
rnacentral:rRNA from 1 species